rnacentral:rRNA from 1 species
GAUGAACGCUGGCGGCGUGCUUAACACAUGCAAGUCGAACGGUGAAGCCAAGCUUGCUUGGUGGAUCAGUGGCGAACGGGUGAGUAACACGUGAGCAACCUGCCCUGGACUCUGGGAUAAGCGCUGGAAACGGCGUCUAAUACUGGAUAUGAGCCUCUUCCGCAUGGUGGGGGUUGGAAAGAUUUUUUGGUCUGGGAUGGGCUCGCGGCCUAUCAGCUUGUUGGUGAGGUAAUGGCUCACCAAGGCGUCGACGGGUAGCCGGCCUGAGAGGGUGACCGGCCACACUGGGACUGAGACACGGCCCAGACUCCUACGGGAGGCAGCAGUGGGGAAUAUUGCACAAUGGGCGAAAGCCUGAUGCAGCAACGCCGCGUGAGGGAUGACGGCCUUCGGGUUGUAAACCUCUUUUAGCAGGGAAGAAGCGAAAGAGACGGUACCUGCAGAAAAAGCGCCGGCUAACUACGUG